rnacentral:rRNA from 1 species
AUUGAACGCUGGCGGCAUGCCUUACACAUGCAAGUCGAACGGCAGCAUGAUCUAGCUUGCUAGAUUGAUGGCGAGUGGCGAACGGGUGAGUAAUACAUCGGAACGUGCCCUGUAGUGGGGGAUAACUAGUCGAAAGAUUAGCUAAUACCGCAUACGACCUGAGGGUGAAAGUGGGGGACCGCAAGGCCUCAUGCUAUAGGAGCGGCCGAUGUCUGAUUAGCUAGUUGGUGAGGUAAAGGCUCACCAAGGCGACGAUCAGUAGCUGGUCUGAGAGGACGAUCAGCCACACUGGGACUGAGACACGGCCCAGACUCCUACGGGAGGCAGCAGUGGGGAAUCUUGGACAAUGGGCGAAAGCCUGAUCCAGCAAUGCCGCGUGUGUGAAGAAGGCCUUCGGGUUGUAAAGCACUUUUGUCCGGAAAGAAAUGGCUCUGGUUAAUACCUGGGGUCGAUGACGGUACCGGAAGAAUAAGGACCGGCUAACUACGUG